UCGCAGUGUAAAACGAGCAGGGCUUGUGGGAGAGCAGGGGAACGGCACUUGGCGCGUUCUCACCGCUGCUUCUCGCUGCUGGAAGCAGACACCGAGAUCCAGGGACAGCUAGAAGGCAGACACCCCGAAUGAAAACAGGAGGGAAUGAGGAUAUGCAUUACCUGCCUGCCUAGGGUGCUGCGAGGUUUAUUAAAUAUUUAAGUACGCUGAGGUCCUUUAAUAAGUAACUUUGGCCUCCUGUGGCUGUACUUUUAGCCUACUGCAUUUAGAGCACAGCAGCACGCAGAACUGAGGGGACCUGACUCCUGUUACCUGCUGCAGCCAUGGCUCCCGUCCCCUCAUGAUCCACAAAUUCAUCCAACAGAGAGCAUUUGUCUACUGAUACCAAUAUUGGAAUGAGGAAGGGGAAAGAAACAGUGAACAAACACCAGCCCGUACCUGAGAUUCAUAAAGCUUCUCUUUCCUGUUUGCCACCUCAUUGCGGAUAAUGGUUCCGAUAUAUUCAAUGACCAUAGUGUGCUUUUCAAUGUCUCUAGCAGCAUACAAGCCCAGGCCCUACAAAAAACACGUGGUGAUUUAGAAUUUCGUAAUAAAUUUACAUUUACACUGCAUUCCUCACCAUGCCCCAAAACCAUUCCUGCAGAAAAUCACGUGAAAGAAAAUUGAACUGCCCAGAAAGAAUCAAGUAGCACAGAAAAGCAACCGAUGUUGUAACAGUCCGGAUGAAAAACUCAGCUUUACAGAAAAAAUUUAAGAUGCAAUAAAACAUACUUGGCUUCUGUCUAGGUGAGAAAGCAGGCUUCUCUUAUACCGCUUAUACCUUACGACUGCCUGUGUGAAGUUUACAAAUUCACUGAAAAAUAAAGGAGGCGCCUCACGAGAACGGAGGAACGUAAGGGGAACACAAUAGCACAGUCAAGUCCAACCUAAAACAAACAACAACCACGUUCACACACA